UAGGGAAUAUUGCACAAUGGGCGAAAGCCUGAUGCAGCAACGCCGCGUGCGCGAUGAAGGCCUUCGGGUCGUAAAGCGCUUUUUGAGGAGAUGAGGAAGGACAGUAUCCUCAGAAUAAGAUUCGGCUAACUACGUGCCAGCAGCCGCGGUAACACGUAGGAAUCGAGCGUUAUCCGAAUUUACUGGGCUAAAGCGCGUGCAGGCGGUUCGGUAAGUUGGAUGUGAAAGCUCCCGGCUCAACUGGGAGAGGCCGUUCAAAACUACCAGACUUGAGGACGGUAGAGGAAGGUGGAAUUCCCGGUGUAGUAGUGAAAUGCGUAGAUAUCGGGAGGAACACCAGUGGCGAAAGCGGCCUUCUGGACCGUUUCUGACGCUAAGACGCGAAAGCUAGGGGAGCGAACGGGAUUAGAAACCCCGGUAGUCCCUAGCCGUAAACGAUGUAGACUGGGGACGUCGGGUAGGGGUAAAAGCC
rnacentral:rRNA from 1 species